ACCCGCUGAACUUAAGCAUAUCAAUAAGCGGAGGAAAAGAAACCAACAGGGAUUGCCCUAGUAACGGCGAGUGAAGCGGCAACAGCUCAAAUUUGAAAUCUGGCUCUUUUAGAGUCCGAGUUGUAAUUUGCAGAGGGCGCUUUGGCUUUGGCAGCAGUCCAAGUUCCUUGGAACAGGACGUCACAGAGGGUGAGAAUCCCGUACGUGGUCGCUGGCUAUUGCCGUGUAAAGCCCCUUCGACGAGUCGAGUUGUUUGGGAAUGCAGCUCUAAAUGGGAGGUACAUUUCUUCUAAAGCUAAAUAUUGGCCAGAGACCGAUAGCGCACAAGUAGAGUGAUCGAAAGAUGAAAAGCACUUUGGAAAGAGAGUCAAACAGCACGUGAAAUUGUUGAAAGGGAAGCGCUUGCAGCCAGACUUGCUUACAGUUGCUCAUCCGGGCUUUUGCCCGGUGCACUCUUCUGUAGGCAGGCCAGCAUCAGUUUGGGCGGUAGGAUAAAGGUCUCUGUCACGUACCUCUCUCGGGGAGGCCUUAUAGGGGAGACGACAUACUACCAGCCUGGACUGAGGUCCGCGCAUCUGCUAGGAUGCUGGCGUAAUGGCUGU
rnacentral:rRNA from 1 species